rnacentral:rRNA from 1 species
AGCGAACGCUGGCGGCAUGCUUAACACAUGCAAGUCGCACGGGCAGCAAUGUCAGUGGCGGACGGGUGAGUAACGCGUAGGAACGUGUCCUGAGGUGGGGGACAACCCCGGGAAACUGGGGCUAAUACCGCAUAUGGGCUGAGGCCCAAAGCCGAGAGGCGCCUUUGGAGCGGCCUGCGUCCGAUUAGGUAGUUGGUGGGGUAAAGGCCUACCAAGCCUGCGAUCGGUAGCUGGUCUGAGAGGACGACCAGCCACACUGGGACUGAGACACGGCCCAGACCCUACGGGGGGGAGCAGGGGGGGAUAUUGGGCAAUGGGGGGAAGCCUGAUCCCGCCAUGCCGCGUGGGUGAAGAAGGUCUUCGGAUCGUAAAGCCCUUUCGACGGGGACGAUGAUGACGGUACCCGUAGAAGAAGCCCCGGCUAACUUCGUG